AGGAUGAACGCUAGCGGCAGGCUUAAUACAUGCAAGUCGAGGGGUAACAUGGGUAGCAAUACCUGAUGACGACCGGCAAACGGGUGCGGAACACGUACAGAACCUUCCUUCGAGCGGGGAAUAGCCCAGAGAAAUUUGGAUUAAUACCCCAUAGCAUUACAGAGUGGCAUCACUUUGUAAUUAAAGAUUUAUCACUUGAAGAUGGCUGUGCGGCUGAUUAGAUAGUUGGCGGGGUAACGGCCCACCAAGUCUGCGAUCAGUAACUGGUGUGAGAGCACGACCAGUCACACGGGCACUGAGACACGGGCCCGACUCCUACGGGAGGCAGCAGUAAGGAAUAUUGGGCAAUGGAGGCAACUCUGACCCAGCCAUGCCGCGUGGAGGAUGAAGGCCCUCUGGGUUGUAAACUUCUUUUAUUUGGGACGAAAAAGGGCCUUUCCAGGCCAACUGACGGUACCAGAUGAAUAAGCACCGGCUAACUCCGUGCCAGCAGCCGCGGUAAUACGGAGGGUGCAAGCGUUAUCCGGAUUCACUGGGUUUAAAGGGUGCGUAGGUGGGUUGGUAAGUCAGUGGUGAAAUCUCCGGGCUUAACCCGGAAACUGCCAUUGAUACUAUCAGUCUUGAAUAUUGUGGAGGUCAGCGGAAUAUGUCAUGUAGCGGUGAAAUGCUUAGAUAUGACAUAGAACACCAAUUGCGAAGGCAGCUGGCUACUCAUAUAUUGACACUGAGGCACGAAAGCGUGGGGAUCAAACAGGAUUAGAUACCCUGGUAGUCCACGCCCUAAACUAUGGAUACUCGACAUACGCGAUACACAGUGUGUGUCUGAGCGAAAGCAUUAAGUAUCCC
rnacentral:rRNA from 1 species